GACGUAGGGGGCGAGCGUUGUCCGGAUUUAUUGGGCGUAAAGAGCUCGUAGGCGGCUCGUUGCGUCGGCUGUGAAAACCCGCAGCUCAACUGUGGGCUUGCAGCCGAUACGGGCGGGCUGGAGUUCGGUAGGGGAGACUGGAAUUCCUGGUGUAGCGGUGAAAUGCGCAGAUAUCAGGAGGAACACCGGUGGCGAAGGCGGGUCUCUGGGCCGAUACUGACGCUGAGGAGCGAAAGCGUGGGGAGCGAACAGG
rnacentral:rRNA from 1 species